GACGAACGCUGGCGGCGUGCUUAACACAUGCAAGUCGAACGGGAAGGCCCUGCUUUUGUGGGGUGCGCGAGUGGCGAACGGGUGAGUAACACGUGAGUAACCUGCCCUUGACUUUGGGAUAACUUCAGGAAACUGGGGCUAAUACCGGAUAGGAGCUCCUGCGGCAUGGUGGGGGUUGGAAAGUUUCGGCGGUUGGGGAGGGACUCGCGGCUUAUCAGCUUGUUGGUGGGGUAGUGGCUUAUCAAGGCUUUGACGGGUAGCCGGCCUGAGAGGGUGACCGGCCACAUUGGGACUGAGAUACGGCCCAGACUCCUACGGGAGGCAGCAGUGGGGAAUAAUGCACCAUGGGCGGAAGCCUGAUGCAGCAACGCCGCGUGCGGGAUGACGGCCUUCGGGUUGUAAACCGCUUUCGCCUGUGACGAAGCGUGAGUGACGGUAAUGGGUAAAGAAGCACCGGCUAACUACGUG
rnacentral:rRNA from 1 species